GAACCAGAGUUCUCUCUGACCCGAAACGCGACCCGAAGACCCGCAAAGAGGAUCCGACCGGGGCUACUCCGUCAAGCCACCUCACAGCGGCGGACCACCGACAUUCUCUUCGUAUCGACAUCGCCGUCACGCCUGUGGCCUCGGAUCGUACAUGCACCGGCUGUAGACGGAGGACCGACGACUGGAAGGCCCGAACUUUCUCCGACAACCUCUGCAAUUUUCGGCGACUCCGGUCACCGAUUGGCUUGCAUGAGGCUGACAACGAUUUAGAACUGGGUUUAGGAACUUGCUAAGUUUUGGGCAUCGAAUCAACAGCUUGUCAUCGGCUUUGUCCCGGAGAACCGAGUUUGAGCACCGAAGCAACAGUUUACGAAUCAAAGCUCUCAAAGGUAUAAUGCAGAAACUAGAAUCAAAGUUCUGUUCUCUGAAAGUUGUUGGGAUUUUGAGUGUAUGGGAAAUUGAAAGCUUCUCGAUUAUGUGUUGAUGAAUCUGCUACUGGUAUCGAAACUUUGGAUUGGGAUUGAUUGUUGUGUUGUAUGCUCAUUGUGAAAUGGUUGACCGGUGAUGCAUGAGUUAAGUGUAUUGUGUUGACUAUGAGAUGUUGUUUGCAUGUGCAGAAUGGGUUGGCAGUGACUUGAUUUGAAUUGAUGUGUGGUUUGGUGAUUUGGGAUUG